rnacentral:pre_miRNA from 1 species
ACUGAGAUCGAUUGGUGCAUAGAUAUCAGGAAAACCCACUCAAUUCAACUCUAGCACCAUUCGAAAUCAGUGCU